rnacentral:sRNA from 1 species
AGUCCCGCAGCCGAGCGCAGCCGGGCGCGCGCCGCCGCCCACUCGCCCUGUGCCCGCCGCAGCCCGAAACUGGCCACGGCCGGGAGCGGAGGGGACAGCGGGGAUCGUGAGCUCCGGCCCGAGCGAGCGGGUGCGUCUGCCGCGGAGUCGGCACCUGAAGGACAUGGAGCCUGGAGACAUCCAAAUGACCCCAGCACACGAAUGGCCCUUCUCUGAGUGAGUGUCUUCGUGGCUGGAGGCCAGAAUCACACUCCAGCUAGCUCUUGUGGUUCCAAAGACUCCCAUUUGUAAAUUCCUCUGACAUGAAGAUGCAAUACCAGCCCAUCUGCUCUGCCAACCUAUUCUGCAAGAUGGGAAUGAAAAUGACUUGGCAAUAGCAGAUCCCUGCCACCCCCUACAAUUCUUCAGGGCCAAACUGGCAACAGCCUGGUAUCUCUACAAGGAGUGCGAGGGAGCCCACAUUUUGACUAACACCUACUGUGUGUCAGUUGGUAUCUUAGGUGACAACAACAUUAGCUAAAAUGAGGGGAGAGCUUAUUAUGUGCCAGGCACUGUGCUGGGGCUUUAUAUGCAAUAUCUCAUUUGGGCUUUAUCACAAUUCUAAAAAAUAAGUGCUAUUAUAAAUGUUUAUUUUACAAGUGGGGAAACUAAGGCUCAGUAAAGUCAAGUGUCUUGCCUAAGAUCACACAUCUAGUAAAAGGCAAGGUCUGGAUGUGAACCCAAACUGUCUAAUCAAACACCAUCUCCUAGUAUCCCCAUGACCUUGUAGGGGGUGUUAUUAUCCUCAUUUUACAGAUGAGAGUCUGAACAGUAAAGUCAAUUGCCUAGUAUCCCACAACUCAUCAAUUAUAGAGUGGGAUCCAAACCUGGUCUUGUCAAGCUCCAAGUUCUGUGCUGUCUCCACUAUCUUGCUGCAUGAGUCCUGGCAGCCGCCCUGGGCUGGAGAGGAGUGGCUGGAUGUGGCCUGCUCCCAGCAGCUGCCAGAGGCUGCCAGCCUCCUGCAGCCACAGCACAUUCCUGCUCACGCCCUGAGGCACACAGAGCUGGCAUCCUGAGACUAAGCCAGGUUCCUAGCCUUAGGGCAAAUGAAAGACCUCCUGCAGGCUGAGUGCACCUCAGCUUUUGUAUUUGAACUAUCAUGAGCACUUUAAAAUGUUUUAAUCACCUUUUUCAGGUAAAACAUAUGUACAAUAAAAUUCACCCAUUUUAAGUGUAUACAUUGAUGAGUGUUGACAAAUGUAUACAGUCAUAUAGCCACCACCACGAGAUGUAGACCAUGAUCAAGGUAUAGAGCAUUUCUGGCUGGGUGUUAUGGUUCAUGCCUGUAAUCCUUGCACUUUGGGAGGCUGGCAGAUCACUUGAGGUCAGGAGUUUGAGACCAGCCUGGCCAACAUGGCAAAACUCUGUCUCUACUACAAAUACAAAAAUUGGCCCGGUGCAGUGGCUCACGCUUAUAAUCCCAGCACUUUGGGAGGCCGAGGCGGGUGGAUCACCUGAGGUUGGGAAUUCAAGACCAGCCUGACCAACCUGGAGAAACCUUGUCUCUGCUAAAAAUACAAAUUAGCCAGGCGUGGUGGCGCAUGCCUGUAAUCUGAGCUACUCAGGAGACUGAGGCACGAGAAUCUCUUGAACUCAGGAGGUGGAGGUUGCAGUGAGCAGAGAUCGUGCCACUGCACUCCAGCCUGGGUGACGAAGUGAGACUCUGUGUCACA